rnacentral:lncRNA from 1 species
UUGAAUACACCGGAAUAAUGGCCGGAGAAGCCAUAGAUCUAUAGAUCUGAGAAGGAUCUGAAGAGGGACAUUGAAGUUGGGCUUCCAAACCUCGAGUAGCUUAGGUUUAAUGGUGAGAGGGUGAGUACAGGCCAUCCAUGGCCUAAAAUGCCAUGGAUUCCAUUGGAAAUAUGGUAGAAUAAGGUGGGAGGCGAUUAGGGUUUUGGAGUGGUUAGAGAGUGUUUCAGAGACGAAGGGGUUUCAAAGGCGAUG